rfam:Papilio xuthus contig17504, whole genome shotgun sequence.
GCGUCGGUGGCUCAGUGGUCGAGCACUUGACUUGAAAUCUGCAGGUCCUGGGUUCGAAUCCCGCCAUGUA